rnacentral:rRNA from 1 species
GAAGUAGGCGGCCACAUAAGUGGGGCGUGAAAUCCUUCGGCUCAACCGAAGACCUGCGCUCCAAACUGUGUGGCUUGAGUCCGGGAGGGGAGACGGGAAUUCCUGGUGUAGCGGUGAAAUGCGCAGAUAUCAGGAAGAACACCGGCGGCGAAGGCGCGUCUCUGGACCGGUACUGACGCUAAGUUCCGAAAGCGUGGGGAGCAAACA